rnacentral:rRNA from 1 species
CAGUAGCCGCGGGAAUACCGAGGGUGCGAGCGUUAAUCGGAUUUACUGGGCGUAAAGCGUGCGUAGGCGGCUUCUUAAGUCGGAUGUGAAAUCCCUGAGCUUAACUUAGGAAUUGCAUUCGAUACUGGGAAGCUAGAGUAUGGGAGAGGAUGGUAGAAUUCCAGGUGUAGCGGUGAAAUGCGUAGAGAUCUGGAGGAAUACCGAUGGCGAAGGAAGCCAUCUGGCCUAAUACUGACGCUGAGGUACGAAAGCAUGGGGAGCAAACAGGAUUAGAUACCCCGGUAGUCCCUGUCUCUUAUAC